rnacentral:rRNA from 1 species
AUUGAACGCUGGCGGUAGGCCUAACACAUGCAAGUCGAACGGCAGAACAGUGCUUGCUUGCGCUUACGGGGGGGGACGGGCGGGCAGUGCAUGGGUAUAUCCGUGUCUGCGUUUUCGUAGGUGAGGACGUAGGGGAUCUUACGGUAUUAGCGCAUAGGGACUACGGGUGGGAUCUUGGGAUCUUCCGCUCUUGGGUGAUUGUAGGAGGGGAUGUCGGAUUGGCUAGUUGGAGGGGUAAAGGCCCACCAAGGCGACGAUCCGUAGCUGGUCUGAGAGGAUGAUCAGCCACACUGGAACUGAGACACGGUCCAGACUCCUACGGGAGGCAGCAGUGGGGAAUAUUGGACAAUGGGCGAAAGCCUGAUCCAGCCAUACCGCGUGGGUGAAGAAGGUCUUCGGGUUGUAAAGCCCUUUUGUUGGGAAAGAAAAGCAGCAGGUUAAUACCCCGCUGUUCUGACGGUACCAACAGAAUAAGCACCGGCUAACUUCGUG